UUUGAACUCACUUCUUGUAUUGCCUUGGGAGACAUCUGGCCAUUGGUACUCAUUUCUGUUCUGGGUCGAAGGGACCUCACCUUCUUUUCCACCAGCCAUGAGACAGGAAGGCCUCAACUGGUAUCCCUGAAAGGGGGAGAGUUGGACUCUUGCCACAAGUCAGGUGAAGGCAUUCUCAUCUCCUCAGAGGCUUCAGAGCUUCUCCAUUUCAUAGACAACCAGGGCCCAGUGCACGUGAUCCAGAAAUAUCUUGAGCACCCUCUGCUGCUUGAGCCAGGUCAUCGCAAGUUUGACAUUCGAUAAAGAAAUGGGGGCUCAGAGCAGUCAAGAACAUGCCCCAAGUUAUUCGUCAGUGAGGCAGAAAUUGUGGUGUCCU
rnacentral:lncRNA from 1 species